AUGAGGCUUCCUUCUCAGCUCCUGGGGCUCCUCCUGCUCUGGGUCCCAGGGUCCAGUGGGGAUUUAGUGCUGACCCAGAUCCCAGGCUCCCUGUCUGUCACGCCUGGGGAGCCGGCCUCCAUCUCCUGCAGAUCCACUGAAAACCUUGAAGAUAGUACCUCCAUGGCCUGGUACCAGCAGAAACCCAAGGAGGCUCCCAGGCUGCUCAUCUUUGGGGCUUCUGCCCGGGCCUCAGGAACCCCGUCCCGGUUCCGGGGAAGCGGCUCUGGCUCUGACUUCUCCCUCGCCAUCCACGGAGUGGAAGCUGAAGAUGUCGGAGUGUAUUACUGCCAGCAGCACGCCAGCCUGCCUCUCACAGUGACAGGCCCUCAGAUAAAAACUUCCUUUCUGGUCCAAUGA